GACGAACGCUGGCGGCGUGCUUAACACAUGCAAGUCGAACGGAAAGGCCCUGCUUUUGUGGGGUGCUCGAGUGGCGAACGGGUGAGUAACACGUGAGUAACCUGCCCUUGACUUUGGGAUAACUUCAGGAAACUGGGGCUAAUACCCGAUAUGAGCUCCUGCUGCAUGGUGGGGGUUGGAAAGUUUCGGCGGUUGGGGAUGGACUGGCGGCUUAUCAGCUUGUUGGUGUGGUAGUGGCUUACCAAGGCUUUGACGGGUAGCCGGCCUGAGAGGGUGACCGGCCACAUGGGGCCUGAGAUAGGGACCAGAAUCCAACGGGCGGCAGCAGUGGGGAACAUGGCACAAUGGGCGGAAGCGUGUGGCAGAAACCCCGCGAGCGGGAAGACGGCCUUCGGGUGGUAAACCGAUUUCGAAUGUGACGAAGCGGGAGUGACGGUAAUGGGUAAAGAAGCACCGGCUAACUACGUG
rnacentral:rRNA from 1 species